rnacentral:rRNA from 1 species
GACGAACGCUGGCGGCGUGCUUAACACAUGCAAGUCGAACGGAAAGGCCCUGCUUGCAGGGUACUCGAGUGGCGAACGGGUGAGUAACACGUGGGUGAUCUGCCCUGCACUUCGGGAUAAGCCUGGGAAACUGGGUCUAAUACCGGAUAUGACCUUCCAUGUAGUGUGGGGGGUGGAAAGAUUUAUCGGUGUGGGAUGAGCCCGCGGCCUAUCAGCUUGUUGGUGGGGUAAUGGCCUACCAAGGCGUCGACGGGUAGCCGGCCUGAGAGGGUGGACGGCCACAUUGGGACUGAGAUACGGCCCAGACUCCUACGGGAGGCAGCAGUGGGGAAUAUUGCACAAUGGGCGGAAGCCUUAUGCAGCGACGCCGCGUGGGGGAUGACGGCCUUCGGGUUGUAAACCUCUUUCGACAGGGACGAAGCUUCGGUGACGGUACCUGGAUAAGAAGCACCGGCUAACUACGUG